GAGUUUGAUCCUGGCUCAGAUUGAACGCUGGCGGCAUGCUUUACACAUGCAAGUCGAGCGGCAGCGCGGGGGCAACCCUGGCGGCGAGCGGCGAACGGGUGAGUAAUGCAUCGGAACGUGUCCUGGAGUGGGGGAUAACCCGGCGAAAGCCGGGCUAAUACCGCAUACGCUCUCUGGAGGAAAGCGGGGGAUCCGCAAGGACCUCGCGCUCGCGGAGCGGCCGAUGCCCGAUUAGCUUGUUGGUGAGGUAAAGGCUUACCAAGGCGACGAUCGGUAGCUGGUCUGAGAGGAUGAUCAGCCACACUGGGACUGAGACACGGCCCAGACUCCUACGGGAGGCAGCAGUGGGGAAUUUUGGACAAUGGGGGCAACCCUGAUCCAGCCAUGCCGCGUGCGGGAAGAAGGCCUUCGGGUUGUAAACCGCUUUUAGCCGGGAAGAAAAGGCGCGGGCUAAUACUCCGCGUUUUUGACGGUACCGGCGGAAUAAGCACCGGCUAACUACGUGCCAGCAGCCGCGGUAAUACGUAGGGUGCGAGCGUUAAUCGGAAUUACUGGGCGUAAAGCGUGCGCAGGCGGUUCGUUAUGUCCGAUGUGAAAGCCCCGGGCUCAACCUGGGAAUGGCAUUGGAAACUGGCGAGCUUGAGUGUGGCAGAGGGGGGUGGAAUUCCGCGUGUAGCAGUGAAAUGCGUAGAGAUGCGGAGGAACACCGAUGGCGAAGGCAGCCCCCUGGGC
rnacentral:rRNA from 1 species